rnacentral:rRNA from 1 species
UACAGAGGUCUCAAGCGUUGUUCGGAUUCAUUGGGCGUAAAGCGCGCGUAGGCGGCUGCGCAAGUCGGUUGUGAAACCCCGGGGCUCAACCCCGGAACUGCAUCCGAUACUGCGUGGCUAGAGGUAGGUAGGGGAGAUCGGAAUCCUGGUGUAGGCGGUGAAAUGCGCAGAUAUCAGGAGGAACACCGGUGGCGAAGGCGGAUCUCUGGGCCUUACCUGACGCUCAGGCACGAAAGCGUGGGGAGCAAACAGG